CUGGACCCUUCCUCCUGGGCUGCCGGCAGCCCCCACUAUGACCAGAGGGUCCCUGAGGAUGAGGUGUGUGCUCCUGGCCUGAGGGUUAUGUGGGGUCAGGACACAGACAGAACAGCUGCCUCCACACGACCACAAGGUACCAACCAGCGGUGGCUCACAUGCUACACAGUCAGAGACAUUGAUGCCGCCUUUGUAACCACAUGGAAGAAUGAGAGCCCUCCGGAUGUGAAUUCGGUGCCAUGGAAAGCCACUCUCUCCUCAAUCCCAAUCUACAGCAAGGCGAAGGAGUCCUUUCCAGCUUUCGAACCACAUGGCAGGAGUUUGUAGAAGAUCUGGGCUUCUGGAGGGUCUUGCUUCUGAUCUUUGUCAUUGCUUUGCUGUCUCUUGGCAUUGCCUACUAUGUGAGUGGAGUGCUGCUCUUCAUGGAAAACCAGCCUGAAUUGGUGCAUUGAAGGGGCUUAUGGAAGAUGAGGCAAAUGCUCUUUCCUGGCUUUGUAUUUGUUCUCAGCUUCCCAAAACUCUUCUUAGUGCAAGGCAGUGAGGGCUGUACAUUUUUUUUUUGCAUUGUUACUUAUCAUAAUCCUUUUACAUAAUGACAUGUUUAUUUGAACUAACUACACACUACAAUCAAGUAAACUGCAUCCUAACGCUACCUCUGACUCAACCCGACAUCUUAGGAAAACCAAUACCUAACCUUGUUUGACAAAAGAAAUGGAAAUGAUUAGAAAAUGGGGGGAUAAAGGAAGGGGCUAGAAAGUCCUUGCUCU